AAAAAUACAUGUUUUUCUCAAUAGGAUUUUCUGUCUUUCAGUUUUUUUCUGAAAGCUGUCAUUGAAUUUGCAUGGAUUUGGAAGUCAAAGUGGUUGCUGCAUCCCCUCGAAGGAAGACUGAGUUGUCAUUGAGGGAGAAGAAAUGUCAGGGCUGGAGACUGAAUAGGCAGGCUACACACUGUCCUCGCCCACCAGAGGUGGGGACUCUUACAUACCAUACACUGGAAGUUCUUCUCAUAGGUGCCAACUCGAUUCAUCUUCAGAGUGGAGAACAUCAUUACAAACUCCAUAUGCACAGCAUCAACAUGUCAGUCUGCCACUACAAAU
rnacentral:lncRNA from 12 species